UUUGUUUUGGUGCGGUGAGCACUGACAAAAACUACCUUCAAUGAUCCAUUCUCGAAAAGUAGUCGGUGUCUGGUCAUAAGGUCCAAUUACGUCAGUCCGAAAUACAUUAGGCCCAAGUUUAUUAGGCCGAAAUACGUUUGGCCGAAUGCGUCAUUAGGUCGAAACAUUAAAAACUUGAUAGGAACCGUUCUUUUAGCGAUUCGUUCGGGUAUCUUUGGUAUUUUGUAUUUUUUUAUCUGAUAUAUACAGUCUACUCGACUCUUACUCCACAUCUCGAUGUUCUUCAUCUCGAAAUCUCUCCCUAAGUCGAUGAUGUUUUUGUCCCAACAAUGAGAGUGCUGGUGGUUGUGUCGAUCAUGCGAACAUAGGCAGCACAGUCAUUGGAGUUUUUUCCUUCUUGCAAAUAUUGGCUAUUCUUCAGAGCUAUUCGUUCAUAUUGAAUGCCGGUGUGAUAUUUUUUUUCAUUUUCGCAAAGAUAUGCUGUUCUUUCAAUUGUUAUUGUUACAGUAAUUACUAGCACAGAAACUCCCUUCUCCCAUAAUCAAAUUAGCGUCAGUUUUUUAAUUAAGUAAGGAUUAUUAUAAAACCGUCCCUGGAAUUUUGAUCUGAUGGUCGUUGAAUAAUAUGCAUCAUACGUUGAUCGAUUUUUAAAGGAAAACUUCUACUUUAUUUUUUUAACUCAUUCGGCCUAUUGAACCAUUUGGCCUAAUAAUCCAUUCGGCCUAAUGAUCCAUUCUGCCUUAUCUAUUUCGGCCUAGCGUAUUUCUGCCUAACAAACUUCGGCCUUAAAACCCAGCACCCUGUCAAUCCAGCUGUUAGAUAAAGAAUCUGGUGCCCAGGGCCUUUCUUGUGUAUAAUAUAGAAAAAUUUUGCUGGAAAUACUUAUCAGGUAGGCACAAACCCAACAUAUUUUAGAUAUGAUAAGAGAUGACCAACACUGUUAUUAAUCAACAUACGUAUGUUAAGUAAACAUUAGGUAAAUGCACAGUAGCGAUUAGCUGAAAAAAUCCUGUUCUUUUGAAGUAAAAUUUAUCAGAAUCGUUUCCUUGAAUUCCAGGGAGAAUCCCUGAAAGAAUAUUUUAAGGGAUUGCCAAUAAGGAAAAUUACAGAAAAUCUGGAAUAAUAAAGAUACGAAGGAUAUCAAAAUUUUGUCCAAAAAAUGUUUGCCUUUGAUCAAGAUUAUAACGCCCUUUAAUAAAUUUGAUCAAUAAUUCAGUAGUGCAUAAUUUGUGUGUUUCAAUUUUGUAUGAGAAUAAACUGUAAACGGUGUUGUCUUCUAUUCAGCGCAACCAGGAUUUGGUUCUUAGGGGGUUUGUAAAUUUGAAUUAGUGAAGAUAUUUUUAUAGAUAAAAUCGACUUGAAGAUUUAGGUAAACUUCAUUAUUUUAACACGCAAGCACGGUCGAAAGCAAACUAGAAUUGCAACACUUAACUUUAAGUGGGAGCAUAACUGUCUCAUGUUAAAGAAUUGACAAUCGAAUUUUGCUUCCACUGUGAAGAUUUCAUGACCAAAUAUGUGUCAACAUCUUAUUUUUUU